GAUCAUGGCUCAGAUUGAACGCUGGCGGAAUGCUUUACACAUGCAAGUCGAACGGUAGAGGGGGCAACCCCUCGAGAGUGGCGAACGGGUGAGUAAUAUAUCGGAACGUGCCCAGUCGUGGGGGAUAACGUAGCGAAAGUUACGCUAAUACCGCAUACGAUCUACGGAUGAAAGCGGGGGAUCGCAAGACCCCGCGCGAUUGGAGCGGCCGAUAUCAGAUUAGGUAGUUGGUGGGAUAAAAGCUUACCAAGCCGACGAUCUGUAGCUGGUCUGAGAGGACGAUCAGCCACACUGGGACUGAGACACGGCCCAAACUCCUACGGGAGGCAGCAGUGGGGAAUUUUGGACAAUGGGCGCAAGCCUGAUCCAGCAAUGCCGCGUGCAGGAUGAAGGCCUUCGGGUUGUAAACUGCUUUUGUACGGAACGAAAAGCUUCGGGCUAAUACCCUGGAGUCAUGACGGUACCGUAAGAAUAAGCACCGGCUAACUACGUG
rnacentral:rRNA from 1 species